rnacentral:rRNA from 1 species
AACGAACGCUGGCGGCAUGCCUAACACAUGCAAGUCGAACGAGACCUUCGGGUCUAGUGGCGCACGGGUGCGUAACGCGUGGGAACCUGCCCUUAGGUUCGGAAUAACUCCCCGAAAGGGGUGCUAAUACCGGAUAAUGUCUUCGGACCAAAGAUUUAUCGCCUUUGGAUGGGCCCGCGUUGGAUUAGCUAGUUGGUAGGGUAAAAGCCUACCAAGGCGACGAUCCAUAGCUGGUCUGAGAGGAUGAUCAGCCACACUGGGACUGAGACACGGCCCAGACUCCUACGGGAGGCAGCAGUGGGGAAUAUUGGACAAUGGACGAAAGCCUGAUCCAGCAAUGCCGCGUGAGUGAUGAAGGCCUUAGGGUUGUAAAGCUCUUUGAGCCGGGAUGAUAAUGACAGUACCGGGAGAAGAAGCUCCGGCUAACUCCGUG